UACGAAGGGGGCUAGCGUUGUUCGGAAUUACUGGGCGUAAAGCGCGCGCAGGCGGCCAUUCAAGUCAGGGGUGAAAGCCCGGAGCUCAACUCCGGAACUGCCUUUGAAACUGUAUGGCUUGAGUACGGGAGAGGUGAGUGGAAUUCCCAGUGUAGAGGUGAAAUUCGUAGAUAUUGGGAAGAACACCGGUGGCGAAGGCGGCUCACUGGCCCGUUUCUGACGCUCAGGCGCGACAGCGUGGGGAUCAAACAGG
rnacentral:rRNA from 1 species